UGGGGAAUUUUGGACAAUGGGCGCAAGCCUGAUCCAGCCAUGCCGCGUGCGGGAAGAAGGCCUUCGGGUUGUAAACCGCUUUUGUCAGGGAAGAAAUCUUCUGAGUUAAUACCUCGGGAGGAUGACGGUACCUGAAGAAUAAGCACCGGCUAACUACGUGCCAGCAGCCGCGGUAAUACGUAGGGUGCAAGCGUUAAUCGGAAUUACUGGGCGUAAAGCGUGCGCAGGCGGUUUUGUAAGACAGAGGUGAAAUCCCCGGGCUCAACCUGGGAACUGCCUUUGUGACUGCAAGGCUUGAGUGCGGCAGAGGGGGAUGGAAUUCCGCGUGUAGCAGUGAAAUGCGUAGAUAUGCGGAGGAACACCGAUGGCGAAGGCAAUCCCCUGGGCCUGCACUGACGCUCAUGCACGAAAGCGUGGGGAGCAAACAGGAUUAGAUACCCCU
rnacentral:rRNA from 1 species